CAUUUAAAGUGGUACGCGAGCUGGGUUUAGAACGUCGUGAGACAGUUCGGUCCCUAUCUGCCGUGGGCGCUGGAGAACUGAGGGGGGCUGCUCCUAGUACGAGAGGACCGGAGUGGACGCAUCACUGGUGUUCGGGUUGUCAUGCCAAUGGCACUGCCCGGUAGCUAAAUGCGGAAGAGAUAAGUGCUGAAAGCAUCUAAGCACGAAACUUGCCCCGAGAUGAGUUCUCCCUGACUCCUUGAGAGUCCUGAAGGAACGUUGAAGACGACGACGUUGAUAGGCCGGGUGUGUAAGCGCAGCGAUGCGUUGAGCUAACCGGUACUAAUGAACCGUGAGGCUUAACCUU
rnacentral:rRNA from 1 species